rnacentral:rRNA from 1 species
AUUGAACGCUGGCGGCAUGCUUAACACAUGCCAGUCGAACGGCAACAGCAUUUCAGUGUCUGACGACGGGCGGACGGGUGAGGAAGACAUCGGAACGUACCGGGUAGUGGUGUAUAACUACUCGUAAGGGAAGCUAACAUCGCAUGAGAUCGCAGAAGGAAAACAGGGGACCUCCGGGGCUCUUCCUACCUGGGCGGCUGGUAGUAGAUGAUGUCGGAUUAGGUAGUUGGGGGGGUAAAGGCCUACCAAGGCGACGAUCUGUAGCUGGUCUGAGAGGAGGACCAGCCACACUGGAACUGAGACACGGCCCAGACUCCUACGGGAGGCAGCAGUGGGGAAUUUUGGACAAUGGGCGCAAGCCUGAUCCAGCAAUGCCGCGUGGGUGAAGAAGGCCUUCGGGUUGUAAAGUGCUUUUGUUGGGAAAGAAAAGCAGUCGGCUAAUACAGGGCGGUCAUGACGGUACCGAAAGAAUAAGCACCGGCUAACUACGUG